rnacentral:lncRNA from 1 species
AUGCCCAGGGCAGCGAGGGGCGGGGCGGAGCGGAAGCAGAGCGCCCGGGUGUCCCGGCAGGACAGACGCGUCUCCGCGGAACACGACGCUCCCCCAUCCCCGCAUUCACACCAGCCUUGCAGCAAGGCUUGGGGCGCUCCCCCGCAGUGUUUCCAAUCCAACACUUUAAAGUCACGCCCGCCCCACCUUGGUGCUCAGGGCCCCGAUCAGCCAACUCGUAAGAACCAAACUGCCUGGGGACACUUGCCCAAACCAAGCCCUGCCUCGCCCGAGGAGGAAUGUGCCAAAUUACAACACACCAAGGUUCACGAUGCCACAUCACCCACUAAUGGAAUUACAACUGAAGCAAUGUGCUACUGGUGCCUUUUAUUUGCACACAUAGGAAAAUCUCAAUUUGCCAAAACCUGCUUCCUGUGAGACCUGAUAGGCAUUGGAAGGUGAUGGCGGUGAUAAGGAAAUCUGGAACCACCUGACCAAAGAGAAAAACAAAGCAAAUGAAUAAAGACAAAGGACAGGCAUUGUAUUUUUUUUUU